AGAGCACUCUGGAAGGGGAGUUUCGAUUUCUCUUUUGCGAUUUCUUAAGAUCUACUCUUUGUCGAUUCAUAUUUUUGAUCAAUCGGUUCUUGUGUGUUUAUUCUCACUUGAUCUGCUUGUUUCAUUAUCAGGAUUGCUAGAUCUGAUUGUUUCGUGUCUCAUACUGAUAGAUCUAAGAAUUUCGAUCAAGUUUUGAACAAAACCUUUUCACAUUCUUGUCGAUUACGUUAUCGUUUUGCUUGAUCCGAAAGUUUCUUGUGAUUGUGUGACUCGAUCUGUUGUUAGAAUCAUAGAUCAGGAUUUGAUUGCCUCAUUUCAUCAUCUGUUGAAUCUGAUCUGUUAUUGUUUCAAUUUCGAAAAGAUAGAAUUCAAAUCGUCGCGUGUUGAUCAAGUAUCUUCAUUUGCCGCUUUGUUUGAAUACUUUGUUUCCUUAUUUGAAUCUUGAGUUCUGAAUUCUUUUGAACUACUUACUGGUUCAAGUUUUUCGUAUAUCAGGAAGCAAUGGGGUCUGAGGAGGAUGAUGAAACCUUUGUACGAAGGAAUAGAUUGCUGCAAGAAGCAAUCACCAAACAAGUGAUGGAAGCGAUGGUGAAGUUACUGGAAGAGAAGUAUGAUCAGAGACCGCAUGAUGGGCAAGGACAAGCAUCUGGUUCAAGACAUGAGCAAAGAAGAAACAGACAAGGUCAGCGUGAGCAUGCUGGAUCAGAAGAGACUGAUAACUUCUAUGAGAGAAGUAGCCAUAGCUCCGGUUCAAGACGUAGCAGUAGAAGAUCUCGACGUGAUCAUGAGGGCCGGAGGCAUAGACGCAAUGAGCUAUCAGGAUUAAAGCUUAAGAUCCCUCCUUUCCAUGGUAAAGCUGAUCCAGAUGCCUAUCUUGAGUGGGAGAAGAAGAUCGAACUCGUUUUCAACUGUCAGCAUUACUCAGAGACUAAGAAGAUUCAAGUAGCUGCUACCGAGUUCAAUGAUUAUGCAUUGAGCUGGUGGGAUCAGUUGGUCACAAACAAGAGGCGCAAUGGUGAAUUCCCCAUUGAAACAUGGGCAGAGAUGAAGGCUGUGAUGCGCAAGAGGUUUGUACCAAGUCAUUAUCACCGUGAUCUUCAUCAAAAGCUGAGACUGCUCACACAAGGAUCAAAGUCUGUAGAGGAAUACUUUCAAGAGAUGGAGUUGCUUAUGCUAAGAGCUUGUGUAUCUGAGGACAGUGAAGCUACCAUGGCACGAUUUCUUGGUGGACUCAACCGUGAGAUACAAGAUAGAGUGGAGAUGCAACACUACUUGGAGAUAGAGGAGAUGCUACACAAAGCUAUCUUGGUGGAACAGCAAGUUAAGAGAAGAAGUUAUGCGCGUGGCAGCUAUGGUUCCAAUAGAUACCAGACCUCUAAGGAAGAUAAACCGAGCUAUCAAAAGGAGAGCAAGCCACAGCCAAAAGAAGAAUCCAAGUCUAGUAGCAUCUACAACAAAGAUAAGGGUAAAAUGGAAGCUACAAGCUCGCGUGCAAGAGAUGUGAAGUGCUUUAAGUGCCAAGGGCGUGGGCACUAUGCUAAUGAGUGUACUAACAAGAGAGUUAUGAUUCUUCUGGAGAAUGGAGAGUUUGAAUCUGAAGAUGAGAAACUAAGGACUGAUCAAGAACUAUCAGAAGUUGAGCAUGAGGAGGAACCAGUUCAAGGUAGACUUUUGGUUGCAAGAAGAACUCUCAGUUUGCAAAACAAAACAGAGGAGCAAGAACAAAGAGAGAACUUGUUCUACACACGUUGUCUGGUGCAAGGAAAGGUCUGCAGCCUGAUCAUCGACGGUGGAAGCUGUGUUAAUGUUGGUAGCGAGACAAUGGUGAAGAAGCUUGGUUUGAAAGCUCAAAAGCAUCCUAAACCUUACCGGCUGCAAUGGCUUAAUGAAGAGGGCGAGAUGAGGGUAUCUACUCAGGUCUCUAUACCCUUGACCAUUGGGAGGUAUGAAGAUGACAUUCUCUGUGAUGUGAUACCCAUGGAAGCCAGCCACAUACUACUGGGAAGGCCUUGGCAAUUUGAUAGGCGUGUCAUCCAUGAUGGCUUCACCAACAAACAUUCUUUUGAGUUCAACGGCAAGCGAACUGUCUUGGUACCUCUAACUCCUAAAGAAGUGCAUGAAGAUCAGCUUCAGCUUCAGAAAAAGAAAGAGGUUGAUCUCAAACCAGAUAAGCAACACAACUUCUAUGCUAAAGCUAGUGAAAUCAAAAGAUCUCUUUAUUCUCAUCAAUCGGUUCUCUUAUUUAUCUUUAAAGAAUCUCUUUUGUCUCUAACUGAUUGUACACCGGUGUAUCCGAGUGAGAUGUCAGCUCUUUUACAGGAAUACCAGGAUGUAUUUCCAGAAGAUAAUCCCAUAGGAUUGCCACCUAUUCGAGGGAUUGAGCAUCAGAUUGAUUUUGUACCAGGAGCUACUCUUCCCAACAGACCAGCAUACAGAACUAAUCCUGUGGAAACCAAGGAGCUACAAAGGCAGGUUGAGGAACUGAUGGAGAAAGGCCAUAUCCGUGAAAGUAUGAGCCCAUGUGCUGUGCCUGUGCUCCUUGUUCCAAAGAAAGAUGGGAGCUGGCGUAUGUGUGUUGAUUGUAGAGCAAUCAACAACAUAACAGUGAAGUAUCGCCACCCUAUUCCUAGAUUAGAUGAUAUGCUUGAUGAGUUGCAUGGUUCUAGUGUCUUUUCUAAGAUAGAUUUGAAGAGUGGAUAUCAUCAAAUAAGAAUGAAAGAGGGAGAUGAGUGGAAAACAGCCUUUAAGACUAAGCAUGGGUUGUAUGAGUGGUUAGUCAUGCCUUUUGGAUUAACCAAUGCUCCUAGCACUUUUAUGAGAUUGAUGAAUCAUGUGCUUAGAUCUUUCAUAGGUUUGUUUGUGGUAGUAUACUUUGAUGAUAUCCUUGUUUACAGUAAGAACCUAGGAGAGCAUAUAGAUCAUCUUAAGUCUGUUCUUGAUGUGUUGAGAAAAGAAAAACUGUUUGCUAACCUUAAGAAAUGCACUUUUUGUACGGAUAACUUGGUCUUCCUAGGCUUUGUUGUGAGUGCAGAUGGAGUAAAGGUGGAUCAGGAGAAGGUGAGAGCAAUUCAAGAAUGGCCAAUUCCAAAGACUAUAAGUGAAGUAAGGAGCUUUCACGGCCUUGCUGGCUUCUACCGACGGUUUGUGAAAGACUUUAGCACCAUAGCAGCCCCAUUGACUGAGGUGAUCAAGAAAGAAGUUGGAUUCAAAUGGGGAGAAGCACAAGAACUUGCCUUUCAAUGCCUAAAAGAGAAGCUUACUAAUGCCCCUCUUCUUAUACUUCCUGAUUUCAAUAAAACUUUUGAAAUUGAAUGUGAUGCCUCAGGAAUUGGAAUUGGUGCUGUUCUUAUGCAGGAGAAGAGACCCAUAGCUUAUUUCAGUGAGAAGCUUGGAGGCGCCACUCUCAACUAUGCAACUUAUGAUAAGGAAUUGUAUGCCUUGGUGAGAGCUUUGCAGACUUGGCAGCAUUACUUGUGGCCCAAGGAGUUUGUGAUACACACGGAUCAUGAGUCUCUCAAGUACUUGAAAGGACAGAACAAGCUCAGCAAAAGACACGCAAGGUGGGUUGAGUUCAUUGAGACAUUUCCUUAUGUCAUCAAGUACAAACAAGGUAAAGAAAACAUAGUUGCUGAUGCACUAUCUCGAAGGUAUGUUCUCUUAAACACUCUUGAUGCUAAGUUGUUAGGUUUUGAGCAGAUUAAAGAGAUGUAUGAAUCUGAUCCAGAUUUUAAAGAAGCUUUAUAACUCUUGUGAGAAAUUUGCUGCUGGACAUUAUUUUAGACAUGAUGGAUUCCUCUUUUAUGAUAAUAGACUGUGUGUGCCUAAUUGCUCUUUGAGAGAUUUGUUUGUUAGGGAAUCACAUGGAGGAAGUCUCAUGGGUCACUUUGGUAUUGCAAAGACUCUUAAAACCUUGCAGGAUCAUUUCUUUUGGCCUCGGAUGAAAAGUGAUGUGGAGAAACUAUGUGAGAGAUGUGCAACUUGCAAGCAAGCUAAGUCUAAGGUUCAGUCUCACGGUUUGUAUACUCCUCUCCCUAUUCCUUAUCAUCCUUGGAAUGACAUAUCUAUGGAUUUCAUUGUUGGAUUGCCUAGAACUAGGACUGGGAAGGAUUCUAUCUUUGUUGUUGUUGACAGGUUCUCAAAAAUGGCACAUUUCAUAGCAUGUCAUAAAACUGAUGAUGCAUUGCAUGUAGCUAACCUGUUCUUUAAGGAGAUUGUGCGUUUACAUGGUAUGCCUAGGACCAUAGUUUCUGAUAGGGAUACUAAGUUUCUUAGUUAUUUUUGGAAAACUCUUUGGUCUAAGCUAGGCACUAAGUUGUUGUUCUCCACUACUUGUCAUCCGCAAACUGAUGGACAGACUGAAGUAGUUAAUAGAACUCUAGGAACACUCUUGCGUGCAUUCAUUAAAAAGAAUCUGAAAUCUUGGGAAGAUUAUCUGCCACAUUGUGAAUUUGCAUAUAAUCAUGCUGUGCAUUCUGCUUCUAAGUUUUCACCCUUUGAAAUUGUUUAUGGGUUCAAUCCCACCUCUCCUUUGGAUUUAAUCCCUUUACCUGAGUGUGAAAGGGUCAGUUUGGAUGGCAAAAAGAAGGCAGAGAUGGUGAAACAACUUCACGAGCAAGCUAGGCUCAACAUUGAAGAGAAAACUAAGCAGUAUGUCAAGCAUGCCAACAAAGGAAGGCGUGAAAUGGUCUUUAAGGAGGGUGAUAAAGUUUGGGUUCAUUUGAGAAAAGAGAGGUUUCCUAAUGAGAGGAAGUCAAAGCUUAUGCCAAGAAUUGAUGGACCUUUUGAGAUCACAAGGAAGAUCAGCAACAAUGCCUACAAGAUUGAUCUCCAAGAUAAGUAUGAUGUGAGUAAUAGCUUCAAUGUUACUGACUUGAUCCCUUUUAUUGCAGAUGAACCUGAUUUGAGGUCAAAUCCUUUUCAAGAGGGAGGGGAUGAUAUGAUCAUGGACCAGCCAGCUGAUGGAGAUAGAGAUGGCGAGUUUAGAGAUGAACCAGCUGAAGAAGAUGAGGUCUUAACCAUUCCUAAAGGUCCCAUGACUCGAGCCAGAGCUAGGAAACUCAAAGAAGCUAUUGGAGGACUAAUCAGGAAGUCCUUGGAGCAAGAAGAAUGUCUUGGAGGAAGCUUGAUACUUCAAGAUACGCUUAUCACCAUUCAAGCCAUCUUACCAUCAAGUUGAGUAUCAUCUAGGCUAGCAAGCUAUGUGUGCUCUUUUCCUAUCAUUGUUUUUGUCCCAUUGGGUUUUGCAAUGAUAGGUUUUUAACGAGGCCAUAGUCUUGCUAUCUUAUCACCUAGUUGAUACUCUCGGACCAAACCACAUGAAGAACCUUAUGCUAUCUUUAUUUCUAAGUAUUUAUGUCUUUCAUUUUCGAAAACUCUAUCUAAGUUGUGUCUUUACUUCUACAUUAAUUGGAGGAGCCUGUUCCUUUAAUUUCGAAAUGCUUGGAGCCUGUUCCAAGCCUUUCACUAUAUAUAUGUGUAACUCGGCAACCCUAGCAUCUAUCAAGUUUUCUUUCAUUUAAACCUUUGUGUUUUCUUCUCCCUUGCUUUCACGAGUUAAGAGAGUGUCUGGUGUGUAGUAUCCAGUCUGUUGGUGUGUAAUAUCCAACGCCCAAGGGCUUUAGAAAGGUGUGUCAUAUCCGAUCUAAGUCUAGGAGUAUCAAGGAGCCUUUCCGCAGCCUCUUGUGUCACCAUUCGAUCCACAGCCUUGAUAAACUUGAGUCUUUGAUUCGUUUAUGCAAGGAUCUAUCCAAACCAUCCAGAGAAGGGUCCUAGGAUCUCAUUAAGUGGUAUCAGAGCACUCUGGAAGGGGAGUUUCGAUUUCUCUUUUGCGAUUUCUUAAGAUCUACUCUUUGUCGAUUCAUAUUUUUGAUCAAUCGGUUCUUGUGUGUUUAUUCUCACUUGAUCUGCUUGUUUCAUUAUCAGGAUUGCUAGAUCUGAUUGUUUCGUGUCUCAUACUGAUAGAUCUAAGAAUUUCGAUCAAGUUUUGAACAAAACCUUUUCACAUUCUUGUCGAUUACGUUAUCGUUUUGCUUGAUCCGAAAGUUUCUUGUGAUUGUGUGACUCGAUCUGUUGUUAGAAUCAUAGAUCAGGAUUUGAUUACCUCAUUUCAUCAUCUGUUGAAUCUGAUCUGUUAUUGUUUCAAUUUCGAAAAGAUAGAAUUCAAAUCGUCGCGUGUUGAUCAAGUAUCUUCAUUUGCCGCUUUGUU
rnacentral:lncRNA from 1 species